rnacentral:rRNA from 1 species
UACGUAGGGGGCCAGCGUUGCUCGGAAUUACUGGGCGUAAAGGGUUCGUAGGCGGUGUGGCAAGUCGGGAGUGAAAUCUCUGGGCUUAACUCAGAGGCUGCUUCCGAAACUGCCGUGCUAGAGUGCGGGAGCGGCGAGUGGAAUUGCAGGUGUAGCGGUGAAAUGCGUAGAUAUCUGCAGGAACACCCGUGGCGAAGGCGGCUCGCUGGACCGCAACUGACGCUGAGGAACGAAAGCUAGGGGAGCAAACAGG